UACGAAGGGGGCUAGCGUUGUUCGGAAUCACUGGGCGUAAAGGGCGCGUAGGCGGCUUUUCAAGUCGGGGGCGAAAGCCUGUGGCUCAACCACAGAAUUGCCUUCGAUACUGUUAGGCUUGAGACCGGAAGAGGUGAGUGGAACUGCGAGUGUAGAGGUGAAAUUCGUAGAUAUUCGCAAGAACACCAGUGGCGAAGGCGGCUCACUGGUCCGGUUCUGACGCUGAGGCGCGAAAGCGUGGGGAGCAAACAGG
rnacentral:rRNA from 1 species